GAGCGACAGAGCAGAGGCACCUCCUAGGGACUGGGGCUCAGACGACCUGGCUCUGGGAGCUGGGAGAUGGGAACAUCACUAGACCACGAGCCGGAAUUGCUGCAGGAGGAUUCCCACACUCUGGGCCUCCGUGGGCACCACGAGGACUGGACGUGCGACCCCAGCUCUCUGGGUCUCAGUUUCGUCUCCUGCAGAGCAUCUGAGCUAGACCGUCUCUAAAAUUUCAUCAAGCUCCUGUAUUCCAUUCUAUUCUGAGAUGCCCAAUUCUUAUGCCUGCUAAAAACCACAGUGAGAAAUAAUAACCUAUGUCCACAUUUUUGUUUCCUAGGAGAAAUAUCAACAUGCGUCUGCCAAAUAAAAUAUUGUAUUAAAUGAGU
rnacentral:lncRNA from 1 species